rfam:Citrus clementina cultivar Clemenules unplaced genomic scaffold scaffold_9, whole genome shotgun sequence.
GGCCGCUGAUGUUCACAAAUUUGUCCGUACCAUCUGAUUUCUGAUUGAUUACCAAUUAUCCUUCUGAGGCCU